GAUGAACGCUGGCGGCGUGCCUAAUACAUGCAAGUCGAGCGAACGGACGAGAAGCUUGCUUCUCUGAUGUUAGCGGCGGACGGGUGAGUAACACGUGGAUAACCUACCUAUAAGACUGGGAUAACUUCGGGAAACCGUAGCUAAUACCGGAUAAUAUUUUGAACCGCAUGGUUCAAAAGUGAAAGACGGUCUUGCUGUCACUUAUAGAUGGAUCCGCGCUGCAUUAGCUAGUUGGUAAGGUAACGGCUUACCAAGGCAACGAUGCAUAGCCGACCUGAGAGGGUGAUCGGCCACACUGGAACUGAGACACGGUCCAGACUCCUACGGGAGGCAGCAGUAGGGAAUCUUCCGCAAUGGGCGAAAGCCUGACGGAGCAACGCCGCGUGAGUGAUGAAGGUCUUCGGAUCGUAAAACUCUGUUAUUAGGGAAGAUCAUAUGCGUAAGUAACUGUGCACAUCUUGACGGUACCUAAUCAGAAAGCCACGGCUAACUACGUG
rnacentral:rRNA from 1 species